UUUGUAUACUGAAAAAUUCCAUAUCUAAUGCUUUUGUGCCUGCCUAUUCGGCUUUGAACUUUUCAUAUAGAAUUUAAGUGUCAAAUUUUCUUUUAAUUGGUCUUAGUUUGGUGCUAUGGUUCUUGCUCAAAUAAUUGGUUUGGAUGUAUUUAUGAAGAUUAUGACAUCUUUCGGCUGGAAAAUUGAAAAUUUCAAAUCAAAUGAUCAAUGUUGGAAUGAUGAUAUGUUAGUUUGACUUGAUCCCUCGUAAAAGAAUUCUAAGUGAAAACUGCAAAUUGCAAAUUUUAUGGUGUCAAAAGUUGAUUUCCCUCGUGCUUCCUUUACUCAUUUAAAAGCAGUGUAUCAUAACUUGGGGUUGUUAAAAAUAUUAUAUAGGAUGCUCAUGGCCUCUGCAGCUUAUUUUGUUUGCUCUGCACAUGAAGCUGAACAAGUCUUUGUACCCUUAGAUUUCAUUUUUUUAAUUCUAGUCUCCUUGUUUCCAAACAAAGCUAUGUCUCUAGCAUCAAUUUGAUAAUGAUAAGUACUGAGCUGUUACAAUAUUUUCUGGCUUGUUUUACAGGUAAUAUUGCCAAUUAUCUAAAGCUUCUGCAAGUCGAUUCCAUGUAUCUUCCAGUUCCUGUGAAUUUCAUUUUUGUUGGAUUUGAAGGAAAAGGGAACCAUGAUUUCAACCUUCACCCUGAAGAACUUGAGUGGUAGUUCACAAAAAUUGAUCACAUCUUUGAACAUACACGCAUAUAAAAAAUUGGAGCAGUUCUCUCUCCAUGUUACAAAAUUAGUGUUGAUAAAGGGCAACAUCAUCAUCUUCCUAUUGUCAGUAACAUAAACUACAAUUUUUCUGUGCAUGCAAUACAAAUGGGUGAAAAGGUUACCUCCAUUUUUGAGCAUGCCAUCAAUGUUUUCAGCGGCAGAGAUGAUGUUUCUGGUAAUAGGACUGAUGAGGGUGCUCUUUGGCAAGUGGAUAUGGACAUGAUGGAUGUUCUUUUCAGUAGCCUUGUUGAAUAUCUUCAACUUCAAAAUGCGUAUAACAUAUUCAUUUUUAAUCCUAAACAUGAUGUAAAAAGAGCUAAAUAUGGAUACCAGUGAGUAUGUUGGUAAGAUUCAUUAUUUAUUUUCCCACUUAUUGUGUAUUUAAUUAAAAUUCUUAUUCUUAGAUAUAACUUGUCCUCUAGUUCUAAAGUAUGCUUAUCACAUUUAUGUUAAUUUCCUAAAAGCAAUUGUUAAGUAUAUAAAUUGCUUGUGAAGCUGUUGGCUAAUCGAUUGAACUUAAAAUUCUUUUGAUUAAAUAGCUAGUGUCAGCGAGGUUAGACUUGUGAUUUGCACAUGAUUGACACUGUCACCCUAAUUUAGACAGAUUUGGACAGAAAGAUGGAUUGAAAAUUUGAAACAAUGUUGAAAAUUGAAGGGAACAUUUUUUUAAUUGGAAGAACAUAGAUUAAAAAUCUAGUCCUUUUUAUUUUGCAAAUCUGAAAAUGUAUACUUUUGAAGAAAUUUAGUGAGCUCUACAAAUGUCAAAUGUUUUUGUGUGGUGUGACCAUGAAGGAGAUAGAAAAUUCAAAAAAAGAAGGAAAACAGAGGUCCAAUCAAUAUAGUCAGUCAUAACAGUGAAAACUUACAAGGCAGUUUUCCAUGCAUGAAGCUGUCCUUAGUUUCUUGAACUUGCUUAGUUUCUUGAACUUUUGUACAGCUGACAAGUAGCUCAAGAACCAUCAAGCAGUUCCCAGAUCACUCUGAACACAUGAUGAAUCAUACAUCCUUUACAACUUGGCAGUGUAAUAAAACAUCAUCCACAAAUUCACCAUCUUUUUGUCACAUUUCAUCCCUGUUAUUAUAAUUGUCUGAUUGUAUGUAAUAUUGUAAUAAUGUUGAUGUUAAACCUCUGGAAACUGCUGGCAUUAUCUUACAGCUUGAUUAAAUCUUUAUGUUUGUCUUAAACUGCAUUCUUCUUUUAUCUUAUAAAGACAUUCUUGCACUUUCUUUAGUUUGAUUUAAUUAGCUGUAUCUUGCAUUUGGUUUAGCUUUUAAUUGUAUUUUAGAAAGAAAAAAAAUUGCUGCAGGAGAGGUUUAUCCCAAUCAGAAAUAGACUUUCUUAAAGAGGUAUUUUCUUUUUCUUUUUAGUUUCUUUGUUUUCCUUUUGUGUUCCUUUGCUAUUCCUCAAAUAUGUGUUAUAAAUUUUCAUGUUUUACAUUUUUCAUAAGAUAUAAUUACUCUGUCUCUAGUUAGUAUGCUGGGUUUGAAGUAUCUCUUGCUGGUGCUAAAAACUUCUAUGCUGCCUUCAUUUUGUCUAUAGAACCAGCACUGACCGAAUUUUUAUUGUACAGAACAAGGAUUUGCAAACAAAAAUUAUUCAGUCAGACAAUGUUCUAGAAACUGUUCUUGGUAUGAGAAUUUCCUUUCUAAUUUCUACUGUUUUAAUUUUCAGGACAUAAUGAAAUUCUUAUUCAGUUACUAGUAUAUUUUUCUUAUAAUCAAAUUAUUCUAAGUAUUAAAUUAUUUAAAGCUCUCGAUAAGAUUAAGAAACCUUUUAAUGAGAAGCUUCCAAUGGCAAAGUUUGCCUGGACAGUAACUGAAGAUACAGAUACGGUUAGUAUAAUUUUUGCUUAAAAUGUUGAAAAAGUGAAUGUUAAUAUAAUUACAUUCCUGGGAAGUAUUAUCGUUUAGUAUGUUGUUAGUAUUUGAAAUAGAAAAAUUAGGAUGUAUUCAAAGGUGGAAAGAUAAAUGCAUCUUUUCAAAAUGAAGGAAACUACAAUGUAAACAUGUUAAGAUUUAUGUUUAGAAGAGGGAUAUUAUUGGGCCCGUUUGGUUAUACUUGUAUAACUUGUUGGCCUCCAAAGCUGAUUAGAAUUUUAAGGUACAAUUUCCUGUGGAUGUCCAAAUUUGUCAAAAAAUCCUGGUAAAAUUAUUGUCAGUGAUAUGCUUCCUUCAAAAAAUUUCAAUCAUAAAUUUCUUGCAAUUAUUGCUAUGUGGAUAUAAUAGAAAGGAUAGGAACCUUUUAAGAGUAAUUAGUGGGAAAACAAAAUACAACCAAAUCUAAAUUUCAAAGUUCUGACCUUGUGUGGCAAUCUAAACUUCAAAGUAAAAUCCCAACCCAUUUUCAGUAACCUACAUGAAUUGUUCUAUCCAUAAAAGCCUUAUUAUAUAGGACCGCAUCCUUUGUAAUAUCAUAAGCCUAAUUCAAUGACAUAUGAUGGUGCAGCCAAUUGCCUAGAAUGAAACUUGUUAGAGAAUUGCCAUGACUUUGCACCAAAUUGGUCGAAUUGUUUCUCAUAUCCCCAAUUUGAAGUUGAUAAAACUUCAAUUAUAUGAAACAGAUUUCAGACUUUUAGGUUGAAAGUUGGGGGGUUUCAUUCAUUUUAAUUAACAAUUUGGUUAACUUGUAGAUAUGUAUGUUGUAUGCAUAAUUUUUCUUGAUACAGGAAAGGGGAAAAAAUGUGACUUCAAUGCCGUGAUGAUUUCUCUUUCAAUCUCAAAUGAUGCAUUUUUUGCACAAUUGUCUUGUGCCUACCAUAUUCUCAGUUAACUAUUUGUUGGGCCUGUAUGUAAUGCA